rnacentral:lncRNA from 1 species
CACAGGGCUCAGGUAAAGUUCAACAUUGUCAUAACCUUAAAAGGAAUCUGCUUGCCCUGUCCUUCUUUCCCCUUCUAGUGGUUGGAACUUAAACAUGGUGGCCAUGAGACAUCCUAAAGGAUGAAAGAACCUAAAGAUGGGAGGAGCCUGGGUCCCUGGGUCCCUGGAUGACAGGAGCUGUCUACUUGCCCUGGACAGCUCACCUACCUCUGGACUAUCAAUUCACAGGAAAAACUAAUACCAAAAGAAGCAGUUUGUGAAAUA